GCCGACAUGGCGUAACGGUAGCGUCACCGCAUUGUAGGCGGUGGGUGCAUGUUCAAAUCAUGCUGUCGGCU
rnacentral:tRNA from 1 species